UACGUAGGGUCCGAGCGUUGUCCGGAAUUAUUGGGCGUAAAGGGCUCGUAGGCGGUUUGUCGCGUCGGGAGUGAAAACCAGGUGCUUAACACCUGGCCUGCUUUCGAUACGGGCAGACUAGAGGCAUUCAGGGGAGAACGGAAUUCCUGGUGUAGCGGUGAAAUGCGCAGAUAUCAGGAGGAACACCGAUGGCGAAGGCAGGUCUCUGGGCCACUACUGACGCUGAGAAGCGAAAGCAUGGGGAGCGAACAGG
rnacentral:rRNA from 1 species